rnacentral:rRNA from 1 species
UAAAAAAUUUGGCGGUAUUUUAGUCUAUUCAGAGGAACCUGUUCUGUAAUCGAUAAUCCACGAUGGACCUUACUUAAAUUUGUAUUCAGUUUAUAUACCGUCGUUAUUAGAAUAUUUUAUAAGAAUAUUAAUUUUCUUAAUUUUUCAUUAAAAAAUAUAUCAGAUCAAGGUGUAGCUUAUAUUUAAGUAGAAAUGGGUUACAAUAAAAUUAUUUAUAUGAAUUAAAAUUUGAAAUGUUUUCUGAAAGUGGAUUUGAUAGUAAAAUUAUAAAGAUUAAUAAUUUGAUUUUAGCUCUAAAAUAUGUACACAUCGCCCGUCACUCUUAUUAUUAAGGUAAGAUAAGUCGUAACAUAGUAGAUGUACUGGAAAGUGUAUCUAGAAUGCAAUUUAAAGCUUUAUUAGUAAAGUAUUUCAUUUACAUUGAAAAGAUUUUUGUGCAAAUCAAUAUAAAUUGAUUAGAUUUUAUUUAUUAAUUUUUUUUUAAUAGAAAAUUAUUUAUUAAAAAUAAUUAUAAAAAUUAUUGUUUUAGUAUUUUAUAAAAAAAAAAUAAAUUUAAUUAUAGUUUAAUAGUAUUGUGAAAGAAAAUUGAAAUAAUUUGAAAAAUUUU